rnacentral:rRNA from 1 species
AACGAGAAAGUUUCCUUACGGGAAACCAGUAAAGUGGCGCAAGGGUGAGUAACACGUGAAUAAUCUGCCUAUGAAUUCGGGAUAACUUGAACGAAAGUUGCGCUAAUACCGAAUAAGACCACGUCUCUUAUGUGAUGUGGACCAAAGGAGUCUACAAACUCCGUUAUAGAUGAGUUCGCGGACCAUUAGCUAGUUGGCGGAUAACACGCCCCCAAGGCUACGAUGGUUAGCCGGCCUGAGAGGGUGAUCGGCCACACUGGAACUGAGACACGGUCCAGACUCC